UACGUAGGGGGCAAGCGUUAUCCGGAAUUACUGGGUGUAAAGGGAGCGUAGACGGUAAUGUAAGUCUCGAGUGAAAGGCGGGGGCUCAACCCCCGGACUGCUUUGGAAACUGUUUGACUGGAGUGCAGGAGAGGUAAGUGGAAUUCCUAGUGUAGCGGUGAAAUGCGUAGAUAUUAGGAGGAACACCAGUGGCGAAGGCGGCUUACUGGACUGUAACUGACGUUGAGGUUCGAAAGCGUGGGUAGCAAACAGG
rnacentral:rRNA from 1 species